UGAGACUAGUUUCAACAAACGGUUAAAACACUGAUGAGAGUCCUGACUGAACUGAGUGAGGCGACUGGGACAGGAGAAAAAGUCAGAGGACAUCUGGUGGACAGGAAGAGAAUGGCAGUGAACUGGUUUGAGGAAGUGUGAAUGUCCACCGUCGCGUUCCCGUCUAAAGGGGAGAGGAGAGGGAGAGAAGAAGAAGGAAGGUGCCCGGACUUGGUGUUGUGUGUCAGUGCUUCACACUACCACCUAGCUGCCUGGACAAAGUGACUUCAUCUCCAUCUCUGACAGUGGAGGAGAGCAGAAACUGUCUGUUUGCUGCUGCUGAGAAGAUGAGAGAGAAA